rnacentral:rRNA from 1 species
AUUGAACGCUGGCGGCAGGCUUAACACAUGCAAGUCGAGCGGGGUGAUGGUGCUUGCACUAUCACUUAGCGGCGGACGGGUGAGUAAUGCUUAGGAAUCUGCCUAUUAGUGGGGGACAACAUCUCGAAAGGGAUGCUAAUACCGCAUACGUCCUACGGGGGAAAGCAGGGGAUCACUUGUGACCUUGCGCUAAUAGAUGAGCCUAAGUCGGAUUAGCUAGUUGGUGGGGUAAAGGCCUACCAAGGCGACGAUCUGUAGCGGGUCUGAGAGGAUGAGCCGCCACACUGGGACUGAGACACGGCCCAGACUCCUACGGGAGGCAGCAGUGGGGAAUAUUGGACAAUGGGGGGAACCCUGAUCCAGCCAUGCCGCGUGUGUGAAGAAGGCUUUAUGGUUGUAAAGCACUUUAAGCGAGGAGGAGGCUCUUUUGGUUAAUACCCAGAAUGAGAGGACGUUACUCGCAGAAUAAGCACCGGCUAACUCUGUGCCAGCCGCCGCGGUAA